rnacentral:rRNA from 1 species
AACGGCUCAGUAACACGUGGACAACCUACCCUCAGGUCGGGGAUAAACCCGGGAAACUGGGUAUAAUACCCGAUAGAUCUCGGCUGCUGGAAUGCAUCGAGCUCUAAAGCUCCGGCGCCUGAGGAUGGGUCUGCGGCCUAUCAGGUAGUAGUGGGUGUAGCGUACCUACUAGCCUACGACGGGUACGGGUUGUGAGAGCAAGAGCCCGGAGAUGGAUUCUGAGACACGAAUCCAGGCCCUACGGGGUGCAGCAGGCGCGAAAACUUUACAAUGCCGGCAACGGCGAUAAGGGGACCUCGAGUGCCAGGUUACAAAUCUGGCUGUCGUGAUGCCUAAAAAGCAUUGCAUAGCAAGGGCCGGGCAAGACCGGUGCCAGCCGCCGCGGUAACACCGGCGGCUCGAGUGGUAACCGUUAUUAUUGGGUCUAAAGGGUCUGUAGCCGGCCGGAUAAGUCUCUUGGGAAAUCCAGCAGCUUAACUGUUGGGCUUUCAGGAGAUACUGUCUGGCUCGAGGCCGGGAGAGGUGAGAGGUACUUCAGGGGUAGGGGUGAAAUCUUGUAAUCCUUGAAGGACCACCAGUGGCGAAGGCGUCUCACCAGAACGGACCUGACGGCAAGGGACGAAAGCUAGGGGCACGAACCGGAUUAGAUACCCGGGUAGUCCUAGCCGUAAACGAUACUCGCUAGGUGUCGGCCACGGUGCGACCGUUGUCGGUGCCGUAGGGAAGCUGUGAAGCGAGCCACCUGGAA